rnacentral:lncRNA from 1 species
ACCAGGCACUUGUACUGAGCAAUCUGGAAGCGACGGACGCGUCUCAUCAACUCUGUGCUGCAAGAGGAGAGAGGGUCAGUAGAGAUGGGGUUUUACCACGUUGACCAGGGUGGUCUCAAACUCCUAACCUCAAGUGAUCAACGCACCUCAGCCUUCCAAAGCGCUGGGAUUAAAGGCGUGGGCCACCACACCUGGCAUACAGCUUUUCUAAAUUAAUUUCAGAAAGUCUUUGUGUGCAGCGUCAAAAGCACUUGCUUCUGGGUCCAAGAAGUCCAACUCUGAGCCACAUCUUCCUGAGCAAGGGGUUUGAGCUGAAGUGAUCCCCAGGGCCAUAAAAGAAUGUUGGGGCAGGGCAUGGUGGCUAACAUCUGUAAUCCCAGCACUUUGGGAUGCUGAAGUAGGAGGAUUGCUUGAGACCAGGAGUUCAAGACCAGCUUGGGCAACAUAGCAAGACCCCAGCUCUAUAAAAAUAAAAUAAAAUUAGCUGGGUGGAGGCGGGGGGGUGCACGCCUGUAGUCCCAGCUACUUGGGAGGCUGAGGUGAGAGAAUUGCUUGAGCCCAGGAGUUUGAGACCAGCCUGGGCAACAUAGCAAGAUCCUACCUCUAGAAGAACAAAAACAAAACAAAAAGAAUGGUGCGUGGGUAGUUUACUCAAGAAACUCACUAGCCCCACCCGGGUCAGGGAAUGGUUCUAUCACCUCAGGAGAGCAGAGGCUCCACGGCUUCAGACUCCUUGGUUUAGAAAGCGACUACGUUUCCUUGGCCUUAGAAGGAAACAGCCACAUUGAAUAGGGGUGUACAAAAAGGCCUGGCCUACAGGGGACACAACUGGUUGCCACCUUCUCAGAGGACUUGGUGGGGAAGACAGCUAAGCUGUAAGCAGCUGUCACCAGCUCCAGGAGGGAGUGGCGUCCACACAGGACGAGGGGCUUGGCCUGGGCAGAAGAGGGCAGAGACUUCCUCCUGGACUGAAUUCAAGGGAGGAGCACCCCAGGCGGGAGCUGUAGGAGGCUGUGCUGGUCCUUC